rnacentral:rRNA from 1 species
AUUUUGGGCAAUGGGCGCAAGCCUGAUCCAGCCAUGCCGCGUGAGUGAAGAAGUCCAUCGGGUUGUAAAGCUAUUUCGGACGGAAAGAAAUCGCGCCGGCUAAUACCCUGCGCGGAUGGCGGUACCGUCAUAAGAAACACCGUCUAACUACGUGCCAGCAGCCGCGGUAAGACGUAGGGUGCGAGCGUUAAUCGAAAGUACUGGUCGUAAAGCGUGCGCAGGCGGUUGAUUAAGACAGGCGUGAAAGCCCCGGGCUUAACCUGGGAACUGCGCUUGUGACUGGUCAGCUAGAGUACGGCAGAGGGGGGUGGAAUUCCACGUGUAGCAGUGAAAUGCGUAGAGAUGUGGAGGAACACCGAUGGCGAAGGCAGCCCCCUGGGCCGAUACUGACGCUCAUGCACGAAAGCGUGGGUAGCAAACAGG